rnacentral:snoRNA from 1 species
AAAUGGACAUUCAAUAUAUAAUGACUAUGCAUGUGUCCCCAGACAUAGUUCUUUCCCUGGGUCGGAUUUUAUAAAUGCUAGUGAUAAAA